AAUAUUUGACAAUGGGGGCAACCCUGAUCCAGCCAUGCCGCGCGUGUGAAGAAGGUCUUCGAAUUGUAAAGCACUUUAAGUUGGGAGGAAGGGCUUUAGGCUAAUACCCUGAAGUUUUGACGUUACCAACAGAAUAAGCACCUGCUAACUCUGUUCCAGCAGCCGCAGUAAUACAGAGGGUACAAGCGUUAAGCGGAAUUACUGGGGGUAAAGGGGGCGUAGGUGGUUCAGUAAGAUGGGUGUGAAAUCCCCGGGCUUAACCUGGGAACUGCUUUCAUAACUGCUGGGCUAGAGUACGGUAGAGGGUAGUGGAAUUUCCUGUGUAGCGGUGAAAUGCGUAGAUAUAGGAAGGAACACCAGUGGCGAAGGCGACUACCUGGACUGAUACUGACACUGAGGUGCGAAAGCGUGGGGAGCAAAC
rnacentral:rRNA from 1 species